rnacentral:rRNA from 1 species
UACGUAGGGUGCAAGCGUUAAUCGGAAUACUGGGCGUAAAGCGUGCGCAGGCGGUGAUGUAAGACAGAUGUGAAAUCCCCGGGCUCAACCUGGGAACUGCAUUUGUGACUGCAUCGCUGGAGUACGGCAGAGGGGGAUGGAAUUCCGCGUGUAGCAGUGAAAUGCGUAGAUAUGCGGAGGAACACCGAUGGCGAAGGCAAUCCCCUGGGCCUGUACUGACGCUCAUGCACGAAGCGU